GGCCGUUACCUGCGGGCUGCGCACCUAAACGCGCCGAGGGGAUUUUUCCGGCAGGAGGCUCCGCUAUGAAGGAGAGGUGUGGGGGUGGAACAAGGCCUAAAGCGCGUCCUGCGGCCGCUCGUCGGCGGGUCCCCAUCCCGUCCCUGGGGUUCGCGCCUGUAAGGGUGCUGUGCAGCCCCCGGGGCCAUCUCGUGCACAGCCAGGUGCUCGGGAUGCUGUCGCAAAGCAAGAGGAUGCUCACAGAAAGGGCGAGCCUGGACGUUUUCAACUGUGAGAGGACACAGAAGUUGUAAGCCCUCCUUGCUUAGCUGUGCCCUAUUGACCACGUCAUGUUUCUUCACCAAAGCCCUGACAGCCCUGCUGUCAGCGGAGGCCACCCAAACGCAUGGAAAGGUUGCAGGUUUAGGUGUGCCAAGCUGUGGGAAAUCAGGGCGAGAAGAAGGCAGCAAGAGCACUCAGGAGAUCUGUCCCCUGCGGCGUGGCUGCAUAUGUGCCCCGUGACAUCGCAGUGCUCCUGAGAGCUAUGCCUCUGGAUAUGAAGUUUAUAUGAGUUAAAUCUUUGUUUGCUAAUUCUGAAACAGACUCUCUAUUGAUUUGACUUCCUGUGCUGUAAAACCCUGCUGCUUCCAUGCACAUGCUUCUGGGCCAACUGGGGGUCAACAGAUACUUCCCAGGAAGGAACUUGACGGCUUUUCCUUUCUUCACUUGAAAUGCAAAGUCCUCUCUCUUUGAACGUUAUAGAAAAGUGCAGUAAUGGCAAAGCUACAGGGGAAAUGGAUCCAUAAAUUUAAAAGUGUCACUUCCAACAUCACCAAGUACAGCAAUACGACAUGCAAAUGAAGUUGUUGUGAUGGAGAAUAGCCUGUUGUUUCUGAUAAUUGUCGGUGAAGAAACCAGAAGUGCUGCAAGAAGCCAAGGACGUUUCACCUUCCCGCACUGCCUUGACAGUGAAGAGCUGGGGGACACAAGGAGCUGGUAGAGGACAGAACCAGGACAGCUGGUCCAGGCUGACCAAAGGAAAAUCCCAUACCAUAUGGCAUCAUGCAGAGCAUCAAAUCUGGGGGGAGCUGGGGGGGCUGCCAUUGCUUGGGAAUGGGCUGGGUAUUGGUCAGUGGGUGGUGAGCAAUUGUGUUUUGCAUUGCUUGUUUUCUGAUUGUUUGUUGUUGUUGUUUGCUUUGUUUUGAUUUUUUUUUCCUAUUAAAUUGUCUUUUUCUCAACCCACAAGAUUUCUUUUUUUUCCACCAAUUCUCUUCCCCAUUCCAUUGGGAGUGGGAGUGAGCAAAUGGCUGCGUGAUGCUGAGCUCUCUGCCAAGCUAAACCACAGCAAUCAGUCAGUGAAAGCCAAAAGGCCAUGGCUGGGACCUUUGCACUUCUGAAGUGCUCCUACAGUGUUAUUCAGAAGGUAUGAAUAAAUAUCAAGCAGUACAUAAGCCUUACAUAACAGCCUUGAACAGGAUGCAGUUAGUCCUGAAGUCCUAUUGCCAGGCAGAAGUCCCUAUAAGAAGCCUCAUUUCUGUAGGACAACGUCAUUAUAGCAGGAAGAGACGAGAUUCAUCUCCACACACUUCUGUGAUCUCAAAGCUGGGCACUGGGAAUGAAGGCAGGAGGCAGCAGUCUCUCCAAUCAAAGCAGGAAGAUGUCAGCUCCCGUGACUGAGUGAUUCACCCCAGUCUAAAGAAGGCAGCUGAGACGAAUCAGAUGAGCUGCUCUCUAGAGACUUCUGUCUCUCCACUGACAAUAGAGAGAACCUGGACUACAAGAACAGACACAGUGCUGAACUCUAAGUGGCCAUAAUAAAGUGACAGAAAUCCUAUCUAUCACAAGCACAGACAGUGUUUUAGUGUAAAUCAUUUAAGACAUAAUAAAAACAUUUAGACGAGGAGAAAUCAAGCAUCUUUAUGCAGAGAAGCAAAUACUAAGAG
ensembl:lncRNA